GCCUUCGUGGUAUACACUCGGCUCGUAUUCGAGAGGUCCGUGGUUCGAGUCCCGGAGAGGGCA
rnacentral:tRNA from 1 species